GACUAAUACUGUCAUUCAUCUCAUGAUCUCUCCAGUCAGACCCGGCACCAGCUUCAUUGCACUCUAAGGAGCUGCUGAUGAAAAAUUACAACCUUCAGAGAAGGAAUAAGUGAAUACCAAAUCUUUGAGAGAACCAUUUCAAUUUGGGUGUUAUCUAAAACUACUACUAGUAGCAGCAGUUCUGUAAUUAUAGUCCAGCUUGCUUUGAUUGACUUACCAAAGGUAAAUAGACGUCUCAGGCACAUCCAGUCCUCAUACAGCAUGCAGCAGAACUUGCCUCAAAUUUAGGUAGCUCUUCUGAUAUGCACUGUUAAAUAUUGAAAGUGUGAAGGCUACAUUGGAUGAUGGGAGAGGGAUUUGCUGCCUUAAUUCAACAGAUACUGAUUAGCCUAAAAAUAUGAACUUAAGACAAAACCAAAAGGAAUUGGGAGGAAAACUGGAUAAUCAGGAUCUCCUAAUAUUGUGGCAUGUGUAUGGAUUGAAUAACAAGUUUGGUAAUUUCUGGAACUAUGUAGAAAAAUUGACACUGAGGUUUACCCAGUGAACCAUUAUUAUUAUUAAUUCAUGAUUAGCUGUGAUAAUAUGUUUAGUGCUGUAAACAGUACAGAAAAUAGAGACAAUUCAUUUCCAGAGGUUAUAGCCAUAAUGUGUAAUUUUUAUUAAAUCAUUAAUUGUCAAGUGUCUGA